rnacentral:rRNA from 1 species
GACGGAGGAUGCAAGUGUUAUCCGGAAUCACUGGGCGUAAAGCGCGCGUAGGCGGAUUAGAAAGUUGGGGGUGAAAUCCCGGGGCUCAACCUCGGAACUGCCUCCAAAACUGCUAGUCUAGAGUUCGAGAGAGGUGAGUGGAAUUCCGAGUGUAGAGGUGAAAUUCGUAGAUAUUCGGAGGAACACCAGUGGCGAAGGCGGCUCACUGGCUCGAUACUGACGCUGAGGUGCGAAAGUGUGGGGAGCAAACAGG